rnacentral:rRNA from 1 species
GACGAACGCUGGCGGCGUGCCUAAUACAUGCAAGUCGAGCGGACCGACGGGAGCUUGCUCCCUUAGGUCAGCGGCGGACGGGUGAGUAACACGUGGGUAACCUGCCUGUAAGACUGGGAUAACUCCGGGAAACCGGGGCUAAUACCGGAUGCUUGAUUGAACCGCAUGGUUCAAUCAUAAAAGGUGGCUUUCAGCUACCACUUACAGAUGGACCCGCGGCGCAUUAGCUAGUUGGUGAGGUAACGGCUCACCAAGGCGACGAUGCGUAGCCGACCUGAGAGGGUGAUCGGCCACACUGGGACUGAGACACGGCCCAGACUCCUACGGGAGGCAGCAGUAGGGAAUCUUCCGCAAUGGACGAAAGUCUGACGGAGCAACGCCGCGUGAGUGAUGAAGGUUUUCGGAUCGUAAAACUCUGUUGUUAGGGAAGAACAAGUACCGUUCGAAUAGGGCGGCACCUUGACGGUACCUAACCAGAAAGCCACGGCUAACUACGUGCCAGCAGCCGCGGUAAUACGUAGGUGGCAAGCGUUGUCCGGAAUUAUUGGGCGUAAAGCGCGCGCAGGCGGUUUCUUAAGUCUGAUGUGAAAGCCCCCGGCUCAACCGGGGAGGGUCAUUGGAAACUGGGGAACUUGAGUGCAGAAGAGGAGAGUGGAAUUCCACGUGUAGCGGUGAAAUGCGUAGAGAUGUGGAGGAACACCAGUGGCGAAGGCGACUCUCUGGUCCGUAACUGACGCUGAGGCGCGAAAGCGUGGGGAGCGAACAGG